rnacentral:rRNA from 1 species
AGCGAACGUUUGCGGCGGGCCUAACACAUGCAAGUCGAACGCACUAGCAAUAGUGAGUGGCGCACGGGUGCGUAACACGUGGGUAAUCAACCCUUCAGCCUGGGAUAACGACUCGAAAGGGUCGCUAAUACCGGAUACGGCGCGAGAGGCUUCGGCUUCUCACGAGAAAGCCACGCAAGGGGCACUGAAGGACGAGCCUGCGGCCCAUCAGCUAGUUGGUGAGGUAAGAGCUCACCAAGGCUAAGACGGGCAGCUGGUCUGAGAGGAUGAUCAGCCACACUGGAACUGAGACACGGUCCAGACUCCUACGGGAGGCAGCAGUGGGGAAUAUUGCGCAAUGGGCGAAAGCCUGACGCAGCCACGCCGCGUGAGCGAUGAAGGCCUCGGUCGUAAGACUCUGUGGGAGGAGACGAAGAAAGACCGU